UCUGGAAAACAGUCCAUACUAUCUGUCUGCCUGGAGCAGUGCCCUCUGCAGCUGAAUAACCCCUUUAAUGAGUAUUCCAAAUUUGAUGGCAAGGGUUAUGUAGGCACAACUGCAACCAAGAAGAUCGAUGUCUACCUUCCCCUGCACUCGAGCCAGGACAGAUUGCUGCCAAUGAGCGUGGUGACAGUGGCCAGCGCCAGGGUGCAGGACCUUAUUGGGCUCAUCUGUUGGCAGUAUACAAGAGAAGGACGGGAGCCAAAGCCCAAUGACAAUGUCAGUGCAUACUGUCUGCAUAUUGCUGAGGAUGAUGGGGAGGUGGACAUUGAUUUCCCCCCACUGGAUUCCAAUGAGCCCAUUCAUAAGUUUGGCUUCAGUACGUUGGCCCUGGUUGAAAAGUAUUCAUUUCCUGGUCUGACAUCCAAAGAGUUGCUCUUUGUUCGAAUAAAUGCUGCUCAUGGAUGCUCCCUUAUUCAAGUGGACAACACAAAGGUCACCAUGAAGGAAGUCUUGCUAAAGGCAGUGAAGCGAAGAAAAGGAUCUCUUAAAAUUGCAGGCCCCCAGUACUGCCUGGAGAGCAGAGUGAGCCCAAUGUCGCUGUGGACCUGGAGAGCACGCUGGAGAUCCAGAGCGCAUGGGAAUUCUGCCUGGUCCGUGAGAACAGUUCAAGGGCAGAUGGAGUUUUUGAGGAGGAUUCGCAAAUUGACAUAGCUGCAGUACAGAAUAUGCUCAGCAGCCAUCAUUACACGUCAUUCAAAGUCAGCAUGAUCCACAGACUCCAAUUCACAACCGACGUGCAGUUAGGUCACGCAAUAUUUAAACUAACGUAGCUAAGCAAGCAUGAUUAUAAGCACCUCUACUUUGAAUCUGAUGCUGCUACCAUCAAUGAAAUUGUACUCAAGGUUAACUACAUCCUGGAACCACAAGCAAGCACUGCCUGGGCUGACUAUUUGGCUCAGAAACAAAGAAAACUGAACAGAUGUACAAGCUUCAGCUUCCAGAAGGACAAGAAAUCAGGGCAGCAGUGACACUGGCCUCCGUCCCCAACCUGUCAUUGCAGCUCAGAGCCCACCUGCCAGGGCCAGGUGGCCUUAGAGCCCACCCCAAGCCCUGCAGUGCCCCAGGAGGCCAGUCUUGGGCUCGGAGCACAGACCUGGGGCACAAUGGGGAAGGCGUGCAAGGGUACCUAGG